GACUACACACAGGAGAUGGGACAGGACCUGGUCCAUGGAGUCCCCUGCUCCAUCUCCCUGCAAGAGGGGCAGGUGCCCCAUGACACCAACAGAACACAGGAUAGUAUCAAGGUGAUUGAAAGGGAGGAGAUGCCACACCCAGGAAGCCCCAGAAGUAAGAUAUACCAUCAGGGACCAGGGAUGAGACCUACAGGGUGUGGAGACUUCAGCGACACAGGCUGGAGAAGCUAGUGGCAAACCUGGUGACUGCCAUCCUGGGCGACAACCCCUCCUACCUGAAAACAUUGCUGGGCACCUAUAGAGGUUUUGCUAUGACCCAGCAUGUGCUGGGCCUUGUGUUCCAACAGGCCAUGUCCUACAUCCUGGGAACCUGGCUGCUCCAGUACCCAGAUGAUUUCCACCAGCCUCCAGAAUUUCCAUGCUUUAAGACAGUGCUCACUUACAUAUAGCUGAGCAUGCCUGGCUCUGACCUGAAGCAGCAGGCCCACCUCCUCCUGGCACAGCUGGAGCAAGUGGAACUCCCAGAGGCAAAGAGUGAUGCACCUGCUGCAAAACCCACUGGGGAAACCCCUCUGGAUGGAGAGCCAGCUCCAGCUCUCCUGCCUGCGACAGCACCAGAGCCAGAGCAGAACGAUGUGCUGUAUCAGUCAGGCUGUUUCCUGCCCUCAUCUUCAGUGCCGGGAUGCCUACACUCCUGAGGUGUCCUGUGACACAUCGACCUCCUUUCCCUUGUCUGCUGUGGACCCACAACACAGCUCAGGGGCUUCAUCAACACUCCCUGACACCUUGCCCUUGGGAAAUGCCCUGUCAUGUCAUGAUCAAGACAAGGACUUCAAGUAGAAGGUACACUCAAGACUUCGAUUUUAUGGAAUUUGGUUUCUCCUAACAGCAAGACUGACGUUGAGAUGCUUUCUCUGCCACAUCUACUGUGAGAAUGAAGACAAUUCUCAGCAAUCAGACUAUCGACAUUCCAGAAAAUCACUUUGAAGGGACUCACAGUAAUUGUGAAGGGCCCCAGAGGCACCCUGCGGAGGGACUUCAAUCACAUCAAUGUAGAACUCAGUCUCCUUGGAAAGAAAAAGAGGCUCCAGGUUGACAAGUGGUGGGGAAAUAGAAAAGAACUGGCUACUGUUCACAAUAUCU
rnacentral:lncRNA from 1 species